GAGCGAAUGGAAGCAAGAAGUGUCGUGGGGGAACAGCGUCUGAUAUGAGGGAGUGUGAGCAGUUCCGGGUCUUGGGACGCUGUGCAUUUGGUUGGCGCUACGUGGGUGUGUGGACGGAUUGGGAGCGUGCGAUACGGCAUGGCGCUUAGGACCCUGAACCUGGUUUUCCUACUCCUUUGCAUGUCUCAAGCUUUGCCGAGGGGAAGCUUGAGUGGGGCAUGCCACAACUCGAUGGGGACGAGGAAACAUUUGAGCCCUAGAAUUCCAAUGUGGCUUCCUGUGCCGGGUGCACUGCCUCCCUUGGGAGAACUUCUUCCCCUGCCAGCCUUCAUUCCACCGUUUUUGGAUCUUUGGCCGACUACUACUAGCUCAUCUACUUCCACUCCUAGUGAAGUGAAGGAACCUUAGAAAGUAGAAGUAAAUUGUUUAAUUGUGUUUUUUUGGCUAGAAAUCCAAGAAAAUUGUAGUUUACUUGUGCAAAUUUUGCACUUGUAUAAAAAAACAAAAAAAAUUGUAAUACAACUUUCAAUUGAACACGAUUUUUGAAAUUUAAA